rnacentral:rRNA from 1 species
UAAUAGCGUAUAUUUAAGUUGUUGCAGUUAAAAAGCUCGUAGUUGGAUUUCGGAUGUGAACGACCGGUCCGCCGUUGCGGUGUGCACUGGACGUUUGUAUCUUGUUGUCGGGACGCGCUCCUCGACCUUAACCGGGAGGGACGCGGAGUCGGCGCUGGUUGACUUUGAAAAAUUAAGAGUGUUCAAAGCAGGCAAACCGCUCUGAAUACAUUAGCAUGGAAUAACGCUAUAUGACUAUGGUCCUAUUGUGUUGGUCUUCGGGACCGGAGUAAUGAUUAAGAGGGACAGUUAAGGGGCAUUCGUAUUUCAUUGUCAGAGGUGAAAUUCUUUGGAUU